GGAGGUCUGUGAUGAUUCGAAUAUUGCCUACAUUGUCUGAUCAAUCUGUGAUAGACUUUUCCUACUUUUCUGAGGCCUCU